AUUUGUUUAAUUUUGAUACCAAGUGCUGUCUGAGCUCCCUGUGUUACCAAGCUGUGUACUGAACCUCUGAACCUCCAAAACCAACAUUUCUGAACUCUUUACUCCCUGGACACGGAACAGACGUUGACUACUCUCAUCUCUUGACUCCACACUGACAUUGCUGAACUGCAGUCUUCUUAAACACGGAAAGGACACCCUCUAAUCACCAACCUCCACAAGCAAGCUAUGUCCUUUCUGUUAUACUGGGAAUUGCUGUCAUUCAGUUUAAUCCUCUCAAAGAGUAAAUC